AGUGAACGCUGGCGGUAGGCCUAACACAUGCAAGUCGAACGGCAGCACAGUAAGAGCUUGCUCUUACGGGUGGCGAGUGGCGGACGGGUGAGGAAUACAUCGGAAUCUACUUUUUCGUGGGGGAUAACGUAGGGAAACUUACGCUAAUACCGCAUACGACCUACGGGUGAAAGCAGGGGAUCUUCGCACCUUGCGCGAUUCAAUGAGCCGAUGUCGGAUUAGCUAGUUGGCGGGGUAAAGGCCCACCAAGGCGACGAUCCGUAGCUGGUCUGAGAGGAUGAUCAGCCACACUGGAACUGAGACACGGUCCAGACUCCUACGGGAGGCAGCAGUGGGGAAUAUUGGGCAAUGGGCGCAAGCCUGAUCCAGCCAUACCGCGUGGGUGAAGAAGGCCUUCGGGUUGUAAAGCCCUUUUGUUGGGAAAGAAAAGCAGCAGGUUAAUACCCCGCUGUUCUGACGGUACCCAAAGAAUAAGCACCGGCUAACUUCGUG
rnacentral:rRNA from 1 species